ncrna:Vibrio rhizosphaerae DSM 18581 L31-Gammaproteobacteria ribosomal protein leader
CAUGUGGUGUCCGGCAACGAUCCGGAUAGCGACAUGGCCCGAUUUUUGAGGU